CUUUGUGUGGCCUGCUUAAUCGUGCAACUAAGCACAACAGAAUAAACCAUACGCCACCGAGCGUUGGUCGGUUGCCACGAAAAGCAAAUUGAAUAAAUCAUUCUGGUUCCGAGCCCAACAGCUAACGGGUGUACACUUUACUCUGAAGAAAACUCCAAAUUAGUACAUGGCUACCUAAGACAGGUUUUGCCUUCUCCGCAGCAAAAGUGUGAAAGUGAUACAGUUCGGUAAAGUGUAUUCCAAUCACAUUUGAAAAUGGGUUGGUUUUCAAGUGACGAGAUCGUCACUACGAAUCAAAUGGGACCCAGUGAAGAACACCAUCAAACACAAGCGGUUGCGCUUUGCAUUUUAACAGUUAUCGCGGGUGCGUACGUGCUAAUAAAACUACUACUGAAGUUGCACAAAUCACACACGGAACGGCUGGCAGAAAGAGCCGCUCGACGAGCCGCUGCCCAUCCAAUCUAACAGUUAUAAGGAAGUGUCGAACUUUACUGUACUGUGUGGAGUAGUUGAAAUAAAUAAUAACAUUUUUAUUGGAAACAUUAAGUGCAAGUGACUAAGUAACUAUACAAUGACGGAACACAAGAUAAACAGUUUAGUGUUCACAUUGUGUUACACACAAAUCAGCAGCAGCAGCGAUCUCCAACGGAAUGCAAACGAACACCAGGAGUUCGAUUGUGGAACUUCGAGAUGACAUAGUGGACAUACUCAUGUGGAAAAUCGAACACUACUAGUGGCAGUGCAGACGAAGAAACAACAUAACAAACGGGUCAUCCGGCAACAUGGAGCCGACCCCAACAAGGGCGCAACAUGGAGCGACCCCAACGUAGCUUCGUCGUUGCUGCUGAGACUUGCAGAUGAUAUACUAGCGUGAGUGAUGAUUUAAUUUAAUAGUUAAAAAUAAAUAAGUACCGAAACAAUUUAGUUAAAAUGGUGUAUUCAAGUGGUGUUUGACAUUGUAAUAUUCAAAAAUGUGUGACUUACUGAAAGAUCUUGUUUGAAAGUAAAUUACCAAAUCUCAUAAAUCCUGUACGAGAAUUAAUUAUCCGGAAGCCUAACAGUGACCUCAUCCGAUUUUAAAAAGAAGAGAGUUAAAUGGAAAAAAAUGUUGUCAAAAAUAUAGAACAACUUGCACUUACUUUGAGAAAUCUGAGGAAGGCACCAAACAGGAAAUUUUUGAGGAAAACACUAGUAGACAAGUUAGUAAAGGCUCGUAAUCUUUAUGAAGCAAAUUUAUACCUCUUAGACGAAUUCGAAUGUUCUAAUCAAAAAAUCCUCUUAAGAAAAUCCAGAGAUAUUUUUAGUGAAAUUAAAAUUUUUAUCGACGUGCGACUUGAUAAGGCCAAACAUCUCAUACGUUUUAAAACAAUUGUAAAACUUAUCAU